CGUAUCUGCUACUGUACUAGCUAGGAGUAAUAUAUAAUCCAUCCACCAGUGCAGGCUCUGGCUCUCCCUCCCUCUCUUGGAUGAUCUAGUAUAAAUCAGGCGGCGCAGGCAGCAGGCCAGCAGCAAGCAAGCCACUCUACUUGUAGCUAGCUAGCUAGCUAAGAAGAGAAGGAAGAAGAAGAUUGCUCCUCUAUCUAAUGAGCAUGAGCAUGAUGAGAUGCCGGUGCCAGCAGCAGCAGGCGACGACUGUCGUCCUGCUCCUCCUGGCCGUGAGCGCGAGCGCGAGCGCGAGGCCUCUGACUCUGACGACUCUGGGUAGUGCUAGUGCCAACGCCAACGCCAACGCUAACGCCAACGCCACCAACGGCCUGUCCGUCUACUUCCACCUCGACUCCUGCCCGCAGCUGGAGACCAUCGUCCGCUCCCACGUCGACGCCGCUCUCCGCCAGAACGUCCGCCUCACCGCCGGCCUCCUCCGCGUCUUCUUCCACGACUGCUUCCCGCAGGGAUGCGACGCCUCCAUCCUCCUCGACAACGGCGAGCGCAACCUCCCGCCCAACGUCGGCCUCCAGCAGGAGGUGCUGCAGCUCAUCGAGGACGCCCGGGCCAAGGUGCACGCCCAGUGCGGCGCCACCGUCUCCUGCGCCGACAUCACCGUCCCUCGCCACGCGCGACGCCGUCAACCUCCGCCGGCGGCCCCGCCUUCACGGUGCCCCUCGGCCGCCUCGACAGCCUGGCGCCCCCCGCCUCCGACAACGACGUCUUCAAGCUCCCGCCCCGCCGCCCACCGCCACCGUCGACGACCUCCUCACCGCCUUCACCAACGCCGGCCUCUCCGACCCGGCCGACCUCGUCUCGCUCUCCGGCGCCCACACCGUCGGCAAGGCGCGCUGCAGCUCCUUCGGCGCCGUGUCCGGGCCCGCAGGCGACGACGUCACCAGGUGCAUCACGGAGACCUGCUCGGCGGCCGGCAGCGCCGACCGGCUGCGCGACCUCGAUUUUCUGACGCCCACCGUGUUCGACAACCUCUACUUCGUCGAGCUGACGCUCAAGAAGAACCAGGGGGUGAUGCUGCCGUCGGACCAGGCGCUGGUCACCGACUCGCGCACCAGCUGGCUCGUCCAGGGCUUCGCCGACAACCACUGGUGGUUCUUCGACCAGUUCAAGACCUCCAUGGUGAAGAUGAGCCAGCUCAAGGGGCCCCAGGGGAACGUCGGCGAGGUCCGCCGCAACUGCUUCAGGCGCAACGCCGCCGCCGGCGACGAGGGCCUGAUGCUGACCGCAUCUGCCUGAUCCGAUCCCUGCUACUUGUACUGUUUCUUGUGUGUUUUAUUUAUGCAUCCACGUAUAACGACGACCACGACGACAGUAGUACUUACUCCAUAAGACAGAUGAUCGAAUAAGGAGUACUCCUAAUUCAUAAUUAAGAUUUGGGUGGCCGUGCACCACGUGGUGGCAGAUCUCGACUACCUCGUAGCUUGCUAGCUAGUCGAUCGAUCACCAUGAUAUGAUAUGCAUGCAUGUCGGCAUCGAUCAACAUCAUCUCUCAUUUUAAUUAUAUCUUGAAAUAAUAAUUAAUAUGGAUCGGUCACCAUA